AGUGAACGCUGGCGGUAGGCCUAACACAUGCAAGUCGAACGGCAGCACAGUAAGAGCUUGCUCUUACGGGUGGCGAGUGGCGGACGGGUGAGGAAUACAUCGGAAUCUACUUUUUCGUGGGGGAUAACGUAGGGAAACUUACGCUAAUACCGCAUACGACCUACGGGUGAAAGCAGGGGAUCUUCGGACCUUGCGCGAUUGAAUGAGCCGAUGUCGGAUUAGCUAGUUGGCGGGGUAAAGGCCCACCAAGGCGACGAUCCGUAGCUGGUCUGAGAGGAUGAUCAGCCACACGGGAACUGAGACACGGUCCAGACUCCUACGGGAGGCAGCAGUGGGGAAUAGUGGACAGUGGGCGCAAGCCUGAUCCAGCCAUACCGCGUGGGUGAAGAAGGCCUUCGGGUUGUAAAGCCCUUUUGUUGGGAAAGAAAAGCAGCAGGUUAAUACCCCGCUGUUCUGACGGUACCCAAAGAAGAAGCACCGGCUAACUUCGUG
rnacentral:rRNA from 1 species